GACGAACGCUGGCGGCGUGCUUAACACAUGCAAGUCGAACGGAGUGGCGAACGGGUGAGUAACACGUGGGUGACCUGCCUUGCCUUUAGGGAUAAGCUUGGGAAACUGGGUCUAAUACCGGAUAGUGCAAGAUGAGCUCGCGGCCGAUGAGCUUGUUGGUGAGGUAAUGGUCGCCCAGGGCCUCGACGGGUAGCCGGCCUGAGAGGGAGUACGGCAACAGUGGGACUGUGAUACGGGACAGAGUCGUACGGGAGGCAGCAGAGGGGGAUAUUGCACAAUGGGCGGAAGUAGGAUGCAGGGACGACGCGUGGGGGAUGGAGGACUUCGGGUUGAAAACUCCUUUCGACAGGGACGCGGUACCUGUUUAAGAAGCACCGGCUAACUACGUGCCAGCAGCCGCGGUAAUUC
rnacentral:rRNA from 1 species